GUAACAAGGUUUCCGUAGGUGAACCUGCGGAAGGAUCAUUAUUGAAAUAAACCUGAUAAGUUGCUGCUGGUUCUCUAGGGAGCAUGUGCACACUUGUCAUCUUUGUAUCUUCACCUGUGCACCUUUUGUAGACCAGAUUAUCUCUCUGAGUGCUUUACAGCUCUUGGGAUUGAGAAUUGGCUUCUUGUCUUUUCUUAUAUUUUCAGGUCUAUGUUUUUCAUAUACCCUAAUGUAUGUUUAUAGAAUGUAAUUGAUGGGCCUUUGUGCCUAUAAACCUUUACAACUUUCAGCAACGGAUCUCUUGGCUCUCGCAUCGAUGAAGAACGCAGCGAAAUGCGAUAAGUAAUGUGAAUUGCAGAAUUCAGUGAAUCAUCGAAUCUUUGAACGCACCUUGCGCUCCUUGGUAUUCCGAGGAGCAUGCCUGUUUGAGUGUCAUUAAUAUUAUCAACCUCUUUGGUUGGAUUUGGGGGUUUGCUGGCCUUUUGAAGGUCAGCUCUCCUUAAAUGCAUUAGCGGACAACAUAUUUGCCAACCGUUUAUUGGUGUGAUAAUUAUCUACGCUAUUAACGUGAAGCAAGGUUCAGCUUCUAAUAGUCCAUUGACUUGGACAACUCUUCUUUUAUUAAUGUGACCUCAAAUCAGGUAGGACUACCCGCUGAACUUAAGCAUAUCAAUAAGCGGAGGAAAAGAAACUAACAAGGAUUCCCCUAGUAACUGCGAGUGAAGCGGGAAAAGCUCAAAUUUAAAAUCUGGCGGUCUUUGGCUGUCCGAGUUGUAAUCUAGAGAAGCAUUAUCCGCGCUGGACCGUGUACAAGUCUCCUGGAAUGGAGCGUCAUAGAGGGUGAGAAUCCCGUCUUUGACACGGACUGCCAGGGCUUUGUGAUGUGCUCUCAAAGAGUCGAGUUGUUUGGGAAUGCAGCUCAAAAUGGGUGGUAAAUUCCAUCUAAAGCUAAAUAUUGGCGAGAGACCGAUAGCGAACAAGUACCGUGAGGGAAAGAUGAAAAGAACUUUGGAAAGAGAGUUAAACAGUACGUGAAAUUGCUGAAAGGGAAACGCUUGAAGUCAGUCGCGUUGUCCAGGGAUCAAUCUUGCUUUUGCUUGAUGUACUUUCUGGUUAACGGGUCAACAUCAAUUUUGACUAUUGGAAAAAGAUCAAGGGAAUGUGGCAUCUUUGGAUGUGUUAUAGCCUUUGGUUGCAUACAAUAGUUAGGAUUGAGGAACUCAGCACGCCGCAAGGCCGAGUUUUUUGCUACGUACGUGCUUA
rnacentral:rRNA from 1 species